rnacentral:rRNA from 1 species
GACGAACGCUGGCGGCGUGCUUAACACAUGCAAGUCGAGCGGAGCGGCGAACGGGUGCAUAACGCGUGAGUAACUGCCCCCCUCUCUGGGAUAACAGUUGGAAACGACUGCUAAUACCCGAAAGUGGGGGAUGACUCGCGUCCUAUCAGCUUGUUGGUGGGGUAGUGGCCUACCAAGGCGACGACGGUUAGCCGGCCUGGGAGGGCGACCGGCCACAGUGGGCUGAGAUACGGGCGAAAGUGCUACGGGAGGAAGCAGUGGGGAAUAUUGCACCAUGGGGGAAACCCUGAUGCAGCAACGCGCGUGCGGGAUGACGGCCUUCGGGUUGUAAACCGCUUUCAGCCAUGACGCGGUAGUGGCAGAAGAAGCACCGGCUAACUACGUGCCAGCAGCCGCGGUAAUUC